CACGUAGGCGCAAGCGUUGUCCGGAAUUAUUGGGCGUAAAGAGCUCGUAGGCGGUCUGUUGCGUCCGCUGUGAAAACUCGGGGCUUAACCCCGAGCCUGCAGUGGAUACGGGCAGACUAGAGGUAGGUAGGGGAGAAUGGAAUUCCCGGUGUAGCGGUGAAAUGCGCAGAUAUCGGGAGGAACACCGGUGGCGAAGGCGGUUCUCUGGGCCUUCCUGACGCGA
rnacentral:rRNA from 1 species